rnacentral:misc_RNA from 1 species
GUUAUAGAAUGUAAAUCCUGAACCUGAAGCAUAAAUGGGCUAUAAAUGUUAAAUUUUAAGAAAGAGAAAAGAUUACAGCUUAUGGAGAAAAUAACAAACUAACAGUUGGAGCAAAGGUCAGCUAACAUGUGAGAACAGAUACUCUAAUACAAAGCAAACUGACAAAUUUCUAUCCACACCUUUGUUGCAGCCAUGUUGAGAAACAACUAUACAAUCAUUAGACACCUUUCAGAAUUUCAUGCAUUCUGACAAUAUGGAUGAUGAUAAGCAAGCAAACAAGCAGAUAAAUCCACCUGUCCACCCAACAACUGAUUGUCAAAGAAACCUAUUUGUCAAAACUAUGAUUGAAGAAUGCAUUUCAUUGCCCAUUAUCCAUUUAAAAUGACCCCCUUUUAAUGACAUCAACUUAAUCUGCUCCUUUGGCAGCUAUUCUCCUACUGUUUUAAAGGCUCUGCAGACAACUCACUUUUUCUAUUAAUUCCUUGAUUGGCACAAGCAGUACACUAACAACUAAAAAGAUGUCAAAUAUUAAAAAAAUAAUCAACAAGUAGUUCCAUCAUUUAAUCCAUUUGAACACCUCUCAUGCACCAUGGUAGGCACUCCUUCCUUCAGCUAUGGUCAUUAGCAACUGAUUUACUUGAUGAUAUUUAGUUUCCCCUCUAUAAUAGAUAGUGCAACAGUGUUAAGUGACACACAAUAUCCUACUACACAGAAUAAUGAAAUUGAUGAACAAAGUUGACAUCAAA